rnacentral:rRNA from 1 species
UACAGAGGGGGCAAGCGUUGUUCGGAAUUACUGGGCGUAAAGGGCGCGUAGGCGGCCUUCUAAGUCAGACGUGAAAUCCCCGGGCUUAACCCGGGAACUGCGUCUGAUACUGGAGGGCUUGAAUCCGGGAGAGGGAUGUGGAAUUCCAGGUGUAGCGGUGAAAUGCGUAGAUAUCUGGAGGAACACCGGUGGCGAAGGCGACAUCCUGGACCGGUAUUGACGCUGAGGCGCGAAAGCCAGGGGAG